GAACGGAGUUGCAGAGCUUCUGAAUUCCAGGACAAUGAAGAUCUAUUUCCUUUUUGUACUGACAAUCCUUGCCUGCAUCUUGAUGUCAGGAGGUGCAGCAUCUUCAGAUGAAGCCUCUCAUGCUAAUGCUGCUGCUGAGAGAAGCCUGAGAGAUGCUGCAGGUUAUGAAGAAAAGUAUGUAUCUCCUCCUGGUGGUGACCACGUUCCUAAUCUUUUGAGUAGCAUGCUUGGAGCAUUGGGC